rnacentral:rRNA from 1 species
GUGAACGCUGGCGGUAGGCCUAACACAUGCAAGUCGAACGGCAGCACAGGAGAGCUUGCUCUCUGGGUGGCGAGUGGCGGACGGGUGAGGAAUACAUCGGAAUCUACCUUUUCGUGGGGGAUAACGUAGGGAAACUUACGCUAAUACCGCAUACGACCUUCGGGUGAAAGCAGGGGACCUUCGGGCCUUGCGCGGAUAGAUGAGCCGAUGUCGGAUUAGCUAGUUGGCGGGGUAAAGGCCCACCAAGGCGACGAUCCGUAGCUGGUCUGAGAGGAUGAUCAGCCACACUGGAACUGAGACACGGUCCAGACUCCUACGGGAGGCAGCAGUGGGGAAUAUUGGACAAUGGGCGCAAGCCUGAUCCAGCCAUACCGCGUGGGUGAAGAAGGCCUUCGGGUUGUAAAGCCCUUUUGUUGGGAAAGAAAAGCAGCCGGUUAAUACCCGGUUGUUCUGACGGUACCCAAAGAAUAAGCACCGGCUAACUUCGUG